GUGAAGCGAACAAAACUCUUUCUGAUUUGUCCGCCGCUCAUUUUCUUAAUCUUGGAAUCUGCAUAGAAGAAUCAGAGGAGUGCAGAAGAAGAGUCUAUCCUCUGAGAAUUCACCAUGAGGGCUAAGUGGAAGAAGAAGCGUAUGAGGAGAUUAAAGAGGAAGAGACGAAAGAUGAGACAGCGAUCUAAGUAGAGAGCCUCUCUUUUUUUAUUCUUCUUCUUGUGUUUUCUUCGUUGUUAGAACCAAACUCUGUUUUUGAGUUUCAGUUUGAUUGUUUCCUUGGACCAAAGUUAAUGCAAGUUGUGUUUUAUAAUU